CCAAGACCCCACCACACUUCCACUCUUUCUCCUGGAAGUCGGGCACACGGUCGGCACACAGCAGCCCAGCCCAGCCCAGCCCAGCCCAGCCUGCUGGAGGAUGAGGGGCCACGUGAAACAAAGAUGAGCUGCCCCAGCAGAGACCAUCCCAUACCAGCCAGCCUCCUGAAGAUGCUUGAAAGGGUCCAGAUGAGCUGAGCCUGGCCCAGAUUAGCAGAACCACCAAGCUGAUCUGCUGAUCAGCGAGCAAAAAUAAAUGGUUCGAGUAGCAGACAUUCCUGAUUGCUGGCAAAGGAUUUGGGAAUCUCAGUUGAAAAAGCCAGCAAUGGUGGCUGCGAUUCCUCCAUUGGCCAUUGGCCAGGAGUGAAUGCGUGACCCAUUUCUGAUGGUGAGGUAGAAGGCUGAGCCACCUGGAGGGCUGUGGGGAAAGAUUUCCUUUUUCUGGAGGACAGAAACACUAGAACAUACAACCUUUUUCUGAUUUUUCUUGCUGCCCACCAUCUUGCAACAAUGGAGGAGGCCUACCUGAGGCUGAAGGUAACUGAGGACGGCAGAGAACAGACACCAAGGUCACCCGGAUCGCUCAGACACCGAGACAGAGCCAUGCUUGGGAUCCAUAGUGUGUUUCCUUUGAAUUUUCCCAUUUGUUUCAGCGAGUUUGAUUUUUUUUUUUUUCCUUUUACUGGUAGCCAAAAGCAUCCUAAUGGGUAGAGUUCCAAUCAUCAGAUAAAAAGAUCCAGCCAUCUGGUUGUUGAGUCCUUUAUUCCUACAAAAACCAAAGUAAAAGUUCAGAGGACACUGAAGCCGAUUCCCAGGAAGCAGACCUCAAUUUGUGGGAGCCCUAUAUUUCUGACCCAUAUCUGCUCCUUUUGGCUGACUUUAGCAGUAAGCAGUGGCCUUGGGACACAAAGCAGGAUGACUGCAGGAUGCGGGUAAAGCAAGAAGACUUUGGGAAGCUCUGGGGAGCAUGGCUCAAAGUGCGGGCCAGAGAUCUGAGUACACAACAGAUGUUCCACGCAUGUGUGCUCUUGGGGGCGUUCUCCCUUCCACUGGUCCCAACUUUUCUUCCCCAUCCCUGGACUCCAGGAAGCACAUGGUAUGUGUCUUUAUUCAGAGAUGACCGUCAAAACAUUUAGCAACUGCUAUGUUCAGAUGCAGACCAAACAAAACAGAGGACCACUGCAGUGCUGGGGCAGGGGUUUGGAGGCCCCUGUUUAGGGAUCAUGGGGAAGUUGGGGCCACUGGGUGGGAAGCAGGUCCUUGAGGUGGGUUCAGGACAGAAAAGACAGAAGAUGGAUUCUGUGGGGCAAGUGGGUGGGCAGUGAGGACAGCAUGUGUUUACCUGCCUGGAGUUAGUUGCUGAAAUUUUAACAACUUGUUUGGCCAUCCUGAGAGGCAUACUAGACAAUUCUAUUCUCAUACAUAUUCCUUUCUAUGUGCCUGUGUUUGCUCUGCUAGCUUGGGGACCCCAGAGGCCAGAGGCACUGUGAUACCCACUGAUUUGCAUAUCCCCAGCACACAGGCCAUCUCAACACAGUUGGGUGAAUUGAACAGAGUCAACAAUAUAAAUCCCCAAGACCCAUUCUCUUCAUCUAGUCUAGAUUCUGAAUAAAGAAGAAUCUGACUGGUCACAGCCAUUUUCCUCUGAAACAAUUAUUUCUUUGGAGCAGAGUUAUGGGGAGUUAAGGUGACCUCUGACGGUCCGACCUCCUUCGCCCUGAGAUAGCUCAAGAUCAAACUGUCUCACCGAGGAGAGCAGAUGGCAGAGGGAGCUGGGGGGAGAGGGCAGCCCCCUGUGUCUUGCAGGCUAUGGAGCACGCUGUGCCUCCGUCAUCAUUAGUGAUUCAAUAGUUCUCAUUUGACUGAGAAAGAGUGCGAAACCCUGCUCCAUACAACCUUGUCCUGGGAACUCCUCGGAAAACCAGGAAUCCCAGGACGUGGACGCUGUCUGGUUCUUGAGGGCACUGCUGUGUCCUAUUCACCUUUCUUUUCCCCAACACCAAUCCUGGCAGGGGCUCCAGGGCCAGCUGCUAGGAGCCUGAGUGAGGGAAUGAAUGAAUGAGUGAAUGAAUGAAUGGGGGCACCCUCCUUUGCAAGUAGUUUUGAAAUGAAGACAUGAAAUGAACUUUGGAGUCAUAGUAAUUUGGGUUCCCAUCCAGGUUUUGCCACUUAAAGGCUAUUGAAUUCGGGCAAACUCCUUAGUUUAGAUAAAUUUCUGUUUCUUACGUACAAAUAGAUAUAAUAAAACCAACACCAACGGCUCACAACUCCUGUAAAGUGCCCAGUAUAACACCCAACAGUGCCUAAUGAAUUGUAGCUACUCCCCUUCUAUCAUCAUUUUCAUUUUUUUCUUCCUUUCACUUUCCUUGUUUUAAUAUUAUUAUUAUUAUUAUUAUUAUCAUUAUUAUUAUUAUUCUUAAACUCACUACCCAGAGAUACUCUUUGAAUGUAAUAGAACUGCCUGGUUUGAGGUUUGUUUGCCCCCCCCCCCCCCCACCUAAAUAAUAUCUGGAUAAAUCAGCAUAAAAUUGUCUCUCUAAACAGUCUUUGCUGUCCAUUUAUGGCCAUUUCACUUGCAUCCACUAAGGGGGAAGAGCUAUUGGAAACAAGCCUAAGAAAGCAUGUAAUGUCUAAAUACAGCGGGUACCUACUUCCGGCGAUCUGCCUCUUAAUUUUCACCGGGCACUUAUGGUGUGCCAGGCACAGUGCAAAGCUCCUUACUGUUCUUAUCUCUUUCCUAAUCCCUAUCAGAACCAGGGAAGUGGGUAUCAAGGUAAUCUUCAAUUUACAGAUGAGGAAAGCGAGGCUCAGAGAGGUUGAAUGAGGAGGUCAAGGGGAUGAGCGUGACAGAGCCAGCAUCAUGAGCAAUGCUGGUUGGCCCCCACCUGCCAUUCCCUCCUCCCCUUGGGUUUUCAGCCAUUAGCUCCACCCCUAACUCCAAUGAAUGACUCUAAUUGGUUUAAGCCAAUUCUGGAAGUCUUAGCCUUUUUGGACAGUGAUUGGCUCAAAUAAACCAGAAUGUAGC